UUAGAUCGAUGGAAAAGUUAACCGGUCGCCCACCUCCCCCGGAUGUAAAAAAAAACAGCCCACUGCCCCGGUCCGUUCCUCUCUUCCUCUCCUCCCAAUCUCCCAUCUCGUCAUCCGGAGGCAGCGGCAGUGACGGCACCGGAGGGACGACCCGGCGGCGCGGACUACCUCUCUGGCGCGCGGAGUACUUCCUUUCCGCUCUCAUGCGGUAGGGACUCAGAGGCGCCGUGGGUGGUGUAAGGUCCGGGCGAGCUCGGCAGCGACAACGGCCUUCUCCGGCGUCGCUCUCCACCGCCGGCGGUAUUAUCGCUAGUUUAGGGUUAUUGGUUUUUGGGAGCGGUGCAAGGGAAGAGGAAGAAAGGCAAGAAAUGAAAGGAAAGAAAAAUGAGGAGCUCAGGCGAUGGAGGUAAUGCUAGAGACGGGCUCCUGGCUGUGGGAUCAGAGGUGUAGAUCAUAGCGGAGGAGAUGAGCCAUGUGGAUGGCAUAGAAGAGGGGGAGCUCAAGGCUGCGGAGACGAAGGAACAACAGUACAGUAUCAGGCUUCGAUCUGGCUGAGAUAUUUUUUUGUUUGUCACAGGACAUGUGAAUCCUCUCUCUGGUUUUUCUUUUGUCUAAAUUUGACUAAUUUCCAUCCUGUAGCAAUAAAUGAUUGGUACGACUUAAUUGAAUGUUUGUAAUGAUGUAAAUAAAGAAUCAACCUGUACCUAGCUGACAAUGCUAAUUCUCUCUAAUUUUGUGUUAAUUGAAAUUUCCACAUACGUAUGAGCAAUAUUUCUUCAAUUAAAGAAUAUUCACUUUACGAGGAUUUUUGUUCUGUGCUAUUCUUAAGAUAGGAUUUGAAUUGAUGAUGCUAACUUUAUGUUUUAUGAAUUUAUUAUGCAAACGAGGAAUUGAAAUUCUGCCAAGCAAUCUAGGAGUAGAAGAAUAUGUAUGCAAGGGACUUGGAGACGAGGCAAUGGUGCGCUGGUGAGAACACUAUUGUUCUGAUGGGUUAGGAACUUAGGAUUGGGGUUCAACUGCUCUUCAGUUUGUUAUAUCAAGGUUUUGAAGCUUUGGGAGCCUGCGGCCGGUUCGACGGAUGACAUCAGCAAGCGCCGGCCCGCCUCGGCACAGCUGCGGGUGGUUAUAUGGUGGGCGGAGCACACGAGUGAGCUUCGAUGUCAGGGUACGGUGGCAAGCUAAAUCCUGAGUCCAGCUAGGCUUUUUUUCGUUCAGAUUUUGUUACUGUUUUCCAUUCGGGAUUUCAUGGUGAGCAAACCUAGCAUUUGCAGUUGUUUGUUUCAGAAAUUCAUGUCCUGACAUCAAAUUUCGUUUGUAAGGUAAAUCCUGCCAACAAGUCGAUGCUAUGGGGUUACUAGUUCUCUUAAUUUUUCUAUUCUAAUUUUGUAUGCAAUUUAGAUGAAUACUGUCUAUUUAAUUCAGGUAUACGUUCCACAUGCUUGUGAGGUACACAUUUUGUAGGUCCAUAUGUAAGUGUUUGCUUGAUUUGUCGCUCAAGUUUCAUGUUCAAAUGAUGCUCCUUGACUUCAAUACAAUGUUGGUAUGUAGGAUGACUAUCUAUGCAUCUUAUCAUGCACAAAUUAAAAAAUGCUUGGCUCCUCUUCUGCAUGUCUCCAAGGAAUAAUUUCUGAUGUAUAAUGAGAUAAUGAUUAUUUCUUUUUAUUUCUUAUCAUGCGGCUAGUUGCUACAAAAAAUUAACACAUACAUCGCCACUUAUCAUUAAAACAAAAUCAUAUCUGCCAAGUUUCUACAUUCCGUCGAAGCUUGCAGAUUUACCAUCUAUUUUGGUACAUUAUUGAAACAAAUCGUAACCAUGGAUUCUAUAUGGAAGAUCGAAAUAUCAUUUUUACAUUAGGUUCAUGUACUGUAAGGAAUCGACUUUGUUCAUCUUCAACCCAUUUUCCUAUCUUGCAAAGCUGUCCAUUAAAGUAUGGUCAAUUUAUACUCUGUGACUUAAUAUAUUUGUAACACUGUCAUAGUGCCAUUGACAUGCUCUUUUUUCACCCCAUUUAAUAUUGAUUCAUCUACAUUGUUAUAUGCAUGCUUUUGCAUACAUAACUUAUCCAGUCCGCUAUUGAUCAUUUCAAUUUUUCAUCCCGGCAGUACGUCGAUAGCCUAACUAGUCUGCUAUUGAUCAUUUCCAUUUUCAUCCCGGCAGCAUGCCGAUAUCUAUAAGCGAGCCAAUAGUUCCAAAACGUUGCUUCACAAUUACUCGGCAGUAUUUGUCUAUUGAGCAGCACAUAGCUGGCUUCGGUGGGUAGCAUGGCAUGUCCAUUCUCAAUUGAAGUUGGUCUGAAAAUAUCGAACUCUGCCAUGAAAUAGAAAAGAUAGCCACCAUCCAUAGCUCUCAUGUGAAUGUGGCAAGGCCACAAAACAAGUUUUCCAUUGCCGGAUAUCCAACAGAUCAACUGGUGUUAUGGAUGCUUCUUAUAGAUAUUUUUUUGCCAUUUCAAACAUCAAACACCAACUACUCACAAUGGAGACAGGAAACGUGUAGCUUCUGAUGUCAACUAAGUGAGCCUGCCAAUUGUGGCAAUGGAAGGAGGUGGCAUGUCGUCUCAUUCAUGAGGCUGUUAGUUUCAUAACAGACAUUUUCCAGUUGGAUGUCUUUUGUAAAGUGUUCAGACUGUUUUUUGAGAAAAGAAAUGAAAUUUCGAAGACUUUAUCUAAUUUUA